CAAUAGCGUAUAUUAAAGUUGUUGCGGUUAAAAGCUCGUAGUUGGAUUUCUGCCGAGGACGACCGGUCCGCCUCUGGGUGAGUAUCUGGCUUGGCCUGGGCAUCUUCUUGGAGAACGUAGCUGCACUUGACUGUGUGGUGCGGUAUCCAGGACUUUUACUUUUGAGGAAAUUAGAGUGUUUCAAGCAGGCAUGCGCCUUGAAUACAUUAGCAUGGAAUAAUAAGAUAAGACCUUGGUUUAUUUUGUUGGUUUCUAGAUCCGAGGUAAUGGUUAAUAGGGAUAGUUGGGGGCAUUCGUAUUUAACUGUCAGAGGUGAAAUUCUUGGAUUUGUUAAGGACGGACCACUGCGAAAGCAUUUGCCAAGAAUGUUUUCAUUGAUCAAGUAA
rnacentral:rRNA from 1 species